AUUGAACGCUGGCGGCAGGCCUAACACAUGCAAGUCGAGCGGAUGAAGGGAGCUUGCUCCUGGAUUCAGCGGCGGACGGGUGAGUAAUGCCUAUGAAUCUGCCUGGUAGUGGGGGAUAACGUCCGGAAACGGGCGCUAAUACCGCAUACGUCCUGAGGGAGCAAGUGGGGGAUCUUCGGACCUCACGCUAUCAGAUGAGCCUAGGUCGGACUAGCUAGUUGGUGGGGUAAAGGCCUACUAAGGCGACGAUCCGUAACUGGUCUGAGAGGAUGAUCAGUCACCCUGGAACUGAGACAGGGUCCAGACUCCUACGGGAGGCAGCAGUGGGGAAUAUUGGACAAUGGGCGAAAGCCUGAUCCAGCCAUGCCACGUGUGUGAAGAAGGUCUUCGGAUUGUAAAGCACUUUAAGUUGGGAGGAAGGGCAGUAAGUUAAUACCUUGCUGUUUUGACGUUACCAACAGAAUAAGCACCGGCUAACUUCGUG
rnacentral:rRNA from 1 species